rnacentral:rRNA from 1 species
AUUGAACGCUGGCGGCAUGCCUUACACAUGCAAGUCGAACGGCAGCACGGGUGCUUGCACCUGGUGGCGAGUGGCGAACGGGUGAGUAAUAUAUCGGAACGUACCUUAUUGUGGGGGAUAACGCAGCGAAAGCUGUGCUAAUACCGCGUAAUCCCUAAGGGGGAAAGCGGGGGACCGUAAGGCCUCGCGCAAUUAGAGCGGCCGAUACCUGAUUAGCUAGUUGGUGAGGUAAAGGCUCACCAAGGCAACGAUCAGUAGCUGGUCUGAGGGGACGGUCAGCCACACUGGGACUGAGACACGGCCCAGACGCCUACGGGAGGCAGCAGUGGGGAAUUUUGGACAAUGGGGGCAACCCUGAUCCAGCAAUGCCGCGUGAGUGAAGAAGGCCUUCGGGUUGUAAAGCUCUUUUGUCAGGGAAAAAACAGCAGCUCUAACACAGUAUGCGAAUGACGGUACCAUAUGUAAGCCCCGGCUAACUCCGUGCCAGCCGCCGCCGUAA